GAGAGGUGUUGUAGAGUGGUGUUGUGAUGUGUUGGGAAACAGAGAGGUGUUGUGGUGUGUUGGGAGACAGAGAGAGGUGUUGUAGAGAUGUGUUGUGAAGUAUUGGGAAAUACAGAGGUGUUGGGGUGUGUUGGGAGACGGAGAGAGAAGUUGUGAUGUGUCGGGAGACAGAGAGAGGUGUUGUGGUGUGUUGGGAGACGGAGAGAGAAGUUGUGAUGUGUCGGGAGACAGAGAGAGGUGUUGUGGUGUGUUGGGCGACAGGCAGCAGGGUAGCCUAGUGGUUAGAGCGU
ensembl:lncRNA